CCUACGGGUGGCAGCAGUGAGGAAUAUUGGUCAAUGGACGCAAGUCUGAACCAGCCAUGCCGCGUGCAGGAAGACGGCCCUAUGAGUUGUAAACUGCUUUUGUACGGGGGUAAACGCAGAUACGCGUACCUUUCUGAAAGUAUCCUACGAAUAAGGAUCGGCUAACUCCGUGCCAGCAGCCGCGGUAAUACGGGGGAUUCAAGCGUUAUCCGGAUUUAUUGGGUUUAAGGGGUGCGUAGGCGGGUUAUCAAGUCAGCGGUAAAAUCGUGGGGCUCAACUCCAUCCAGCCGUUGAAACUGAUGAUCUUGAGUGGGCGAGAAGUAUGCGGAAGGCGUGGUGUAGCGGUGAAAUGCAUAGAUAUCACGCAGAACUCCGAGUGCGAAGGCAGCAUACCGGCGCGCAACUGACGCUGAAGCACGAAAGCAUGGGUAUCGAACAGGAUUAGAUACCCCUGUAGUC
rnacentral:rRNA from 1 species